rnacentral:rRNA from 1 species
CGAAGAACCUUACCUACUCUUGACAUCCAGUGAACUUAGCAGAGAUGCUUUGGUGCCUUCGGGAACACUGAGACAGGUGCUGCAUGGCUGUCGUCAGCUCGUGUUGUGAAAUGUUGGGUUAAGUCCCGUAACGAGCGCAACCCUUGUCCUUAGUUACCAUCAUUUAGUUGGGGACUCUAAGGAGACUGCCGGUGACAAACCGGAGGAAGGCGGGGACGACGUCAAGUCAUCAUGGCCCUUACGAGUAGGGCUACACACGUGCUACAAUGGCAUGUACAAAGGGUUGCCAAGCCGCGAGGUGGAGCUAAUCCCAUAAAGCAUGUCGUAGUCCGGAUUGGAGUCUGCAACUCGACUCCAUGAAGUNGGAAUCGCUAGUAAUCGUGAAUCAGAAUGUCACGGUGAAUACGUUCCCGGGCCUUGUACACACCGCCCGUC